GAAGGUGGCCUGUGAGGGUUGCUGGAGGUAUCAGAAGUGCGAAUGCUGACAUAAGUAACGAUAAAGCGGGUGAAAAGCCCGCUCGCCGGAAGACCAAGGGUUCCUGUCCAACGUUAAUCGGGGCAGGGUGAGUCGACCCCUAAGGCGAGGCCGAAAGGCGUAGUCGAUGGGAAACGGGUUAAUAUUCCCGUACUUGGUGUUACUGCGAAGGGGGGACGGAGAAGGCUAUGUUGGCCGGGCGACGGUUGUCCCGGUUUAAGCGUGUAGG
rnacentral:rRNA from 2 species